AGUCUCGCUCUUACUAGGAUUCAGGGGUGUUCCCUUCUCUCCUCAGCCAGGGCUGAAGGCUGAGAUCAGCCCUUGAAGAUUGUUCUCAGUCAGGACUGCCACAAGUCAGGUGCCUUGUUUUCCUCCCACAGACAUUG
ensembl:scaRNA